GGUGUCUGAACUGCAGAGCUCUGAGCUUGUGAAACGGCCGUAACAUCUUCAGCACAUUGUGACACUUAUUGUGAUGGGGAUUACUCUGCGAGGGUGGAGGUUCCUGAGUAUCGACAGUAUCACACUCAUCACACUUUAACUUCACCUCCAUUAGCAACAGUCCUGAGUCUCCACUUUUCUUCACGAUCUUGGACCGGUUCGUGUAAGUCCUCAGAAUACAGAUAAACAACACACGGUCGCAGGAUGCUUUCUUUCUUACUCGUCGUCUGUCUGACGCUGGCUGGAGCUGAUUCACAUCGUCACUACGGAAGGAAAUCCUCAAGCGAUGAGGAGAUUUAUUUCAAUCAUUACCCCGCUCACAAGCCUACUUGGUUUAACAUCUUUUGGAAGUUCUAUCCAUGGAUUAUACCUGGUCCCGCCCCUGCUCCAGGCCCCGCCCCUGCUCCAGGCCCCGCCCCUGCUCCAGGACCCACUCCUGCCCCACCCGUUACCACAAACCGUGGAGACAGCGGUUAAAACUCUUCCAGACCCGGAUCUGUCCUGAACGAAUUACAGAUAAACCUCUGAGCUCACGACCAGGAAGAUUUAUAAAGUAUUCAUUCUUUAAAUAAAAUUUGAUGCAUUGUGCAGGCGUGUGUGUGUGUGUGUGUGUGCGUGUGUGUGUGUGUGUGUGA